GGGCCUGUAGCUCAGUUGGCUAGAGCGCACCCCUGAUAAGGGUGAGGUCGGAAGUUCAAUUCUUCCCAGGCCCACCA
rnacentral:tRNA from 1 species